GAUGUGCGGAGAAGUUGCGGGCUUAAAGAUAAAAAAAAUCUCGCUAUAGACGCUGCAAAAUGUGCUAAAAUAACAGACAUAUUCUCUGGAGGGGCCGCUGUAGCCUCCACGUCCUCUGCAGCCCAGGUUGAAGGUGAACAGGGAGAGGAGCAGCCAGAGACUGCUGACAGGGAACCCGAGGGACAGAGUGACCAGGGAAGUGUAGCACAGGCACAGCAGGUAAGCAGGUAGUAAUGUUAGGAUAAUACCGGGACUUUUAGGUGAUGGACAGGCAUGAAAAUCGCUCACCUUUCAGCGAAAUUCGCCGUUUUGAAGCCAAAACAGGUGACCUACGUGAAUCGUGUAAAAUUACAUGAGAAUGGUGGACUGCCAGCCAACGUGCUCCUGACCUUGUGUGCAAGAUGCAUUUAAAAUAAACCAUUGAAUGUGUCCUGGUCGAUGUGGAUUGGCAACGCAGUCAACGAGAGGUUCAUAGAAGCGGAAGCACGUCUGGUCAGACGUCUGGACCGGCUGACAAAAACUGGAUGCGGAAGAGUGAAAGAGCAGCACCUGUCUGCUUUAUCAGUCUCAGUGAUGGCGCCCUCGAGCAAGGCACGUCAUCCAUAAUGCAACCAAAGACUGUGGUUCAUCUAGGCAGCUCACAGGCGACACUGGCUGUGUUUACAUGCAGGAUACUGCCUUUAGUCAAACACAGUCAUGCUACAGCAAAAAAAAAAAAAAAAAGUUCUUUACCGUCAUGAUUACAUUAGUUUUUUGUGUAUUGGUGCAACAAAUCUGUCAGUCUGUGAUGAGAUUUAUAUUUUGAACAUUCCACUCCAAAUAAAACCAGCAGCUGCAACAUCAUACAGCCGUGAAAGUCCUGUUUCCCUUUCCUGAAACAGUACAUUGCAACUGUAAAUACACUGAAAAAAGCCAUCUUAGUGGUGUUUCCAUGUAACUUUAAAGGGAUGAAGCCUCCUUCAGAUCAUACGCCUCAUUGCAGGAGUUGCAAUUUAUUUCCCUGCCCACUUUCCCUCGACUUCUGCUUCAUCUGAUUCUACUGGAAUUCCAACUGGAAUAAGCACAAAAACGUUGCUGCAUGUAAAGAAAGCCAGUGUGGAUGUGACACAGAGCGUGCUCUGUCAGUUUCCCCACAUCAAGAGUAACGACAGGUAAAAGAGGUCUGUGAAAAAGAGAUGAUAAUGAGAAGGUAAUCUUUUAAGAUUGUGCUGCUCACCAUAGAACACAAGGCAUAUUUACA